rnacentral:tRNA from 1 species
GGGAAGUUGGCUUAGUGGUAGAGCACUUGUCUCACAUACAUGAGAUCCUGGGUUCAAUUCCUGGGCACCACA